ACUCCUACGGGAGGCAGCAGUGGGAAUCUUGCACAAUGGGCGAAAGCCUGAUGCAGCCAUGCCGCGUGAAUGAUGAAGGCCUUAGGGUUGUAAAAUUCUUUCGCCAGGGAUGAUAAUGACAGUACCUGGUAAAGAAGCCCCGCUAGCUUACUGUGCCAGCAGCCGCGGUAAUACGAAGGGGCGUAGCGUUGUUCGGAAUUACUGGGCGUAAAGCGCGCGUAGGCGGGCUGUUAAGCCAGAUGUGAAAGCCCGGGCUCAACUCCGGAACUGCAUUUGGAACUGGCAGCCUAGAGGCCAGGAGAGGUUAGUGGAAUACCGAGUGUAGAGGUGAAAUUCGUAGAUAUUCGGUGGAACACCAGUGGCGAAGGCGACUAACUGGACUGGUACUGACGCUGAGGCGCGAAAGUGUGGGGAGCAAACAGGAUUAGAUACCCUGGUAGGCUCUGC
rnacentral:rRNA from 1 species